GAUCAUGGCUCAGGAUGAACGCUAGCGGCAGGCUUAACACAUGCAAGUCGAGGGGCAGCGGGAUGUAGCAAUACAUUGCCGGCGACCGGCGGAUGGGUGCGUAACGCGUAUGCAACCUACCUUAUACAGGGGAAUAACCUUUCGAAAGGGAGACUAACACCCCAUAGUAUUGAUUUAAGGCAUCUUAGAUUAAUUAAAUAUUUAUAGGUAUAAGAUGGGCAUGCGUAUGAUUAGCUAGUUGGUAAGGUAACGGCUUACCAAGGCGACGAUCAUUAGGGGUUCUGAGAGGAAGGUCCCCCACACUGGUACUGAGACACGGACCAGACUCCUACGGGAGGCAGCAGUGAGGAAUAUUGGUCAAUGGGCGCAAGCCUGAACCAGCCAUGCCGCGUGCAGGAAAGACGGCCUUAUGGGUUGUAAACUGCUUUUACAUAAGACUAACCGUAUAUUUGCGAAUAUACCUGAAUGUAUUAUGAGAAUAAGGAUCGGCUAACUCCGUGCCAGCCGCAGC
rnacentral:rRNA from 1 species